rnacentral:rRNA from 1 species
GAUGAACGCUAGCGGGAGGCCUAACACAUGCAAGCCGAGCGGUAUUGUUUCUUCGGGAAUGAGAGAGCGGCGUACGGGUGCGUAACACGUGUGCAACCUGCCUUUAUCUGGGGGAUAGCCUUUCGAAAGGAAGAUUAAUACUCCAUAAUAUAUUGAACGGCAUCGUUUAAUAUUGAAAGCUCCGGCGGAUAGAGAUGGGCACGCGCAAGAUUAGCUAGUUGGUGAGGUAACGGCUCACCAAGGCGAUGAUCUUUAGGGGGCCUGAGAGGGUGCUCCCCCACACUGGUACUGAGACACGGACCAGACUCCUACGGGAGGAAGCAGUGAGGAAUAUUGGUCAAUGGGUGCAAGCCUGAACCAGCCAUCCCGCGUGAAGGACGACUGCCCUAUGGGUUGUAAACUUCUUUUGUAUAGGAAUAAACCUACCCUCGUGAGGGUAGCUGAAGGUACUAUACGAAUAAGCACCGGCUAACUCCGUGCCAGCCGCCGCCGUAA